rnacentral:rRNA from 1 species
AAUAUUGCACAAUGGAGGGAACUCUGAUGCAGCGACGCCGCGUGUGCGAUGAAGGCCUUCGGGUCGUAAAGCUCUGUCCUUUGAGACGACAAUGACGGUGCCAUAGGAGUAAGCCACGGCCAACUACGAGCCAGCAGCCGCGGUAAUACGGAGGGGGCAAGCGUUCUCCGGAAUUACUGGGCGUAAAGGGUACGUAGGCGGCCAUGUAAGUCAGAUGUGAAAGACUAGGGCUUAACCUUAGAAAGCAUUUGAAACUGGGUGGCUUGAGUUAAGGAGAGGAAAAUGGAAUUCCUGGUGUAGCGGUGAAAUGCGUAAAUAUCAGGAGGAAUACCAGUGGCGAAGGCGACUUUCUGGCAUUAAACUGACGAUGAGGUACGAAAGCGUGGGGAGCAAACA